rnacentral:rRNA from 1 species
GAUGAACGCUGGCGGCGUGCCUAAUACAUGCAAGUCGAGCGAAUAGAUUAAGAGCUUGCUCUUAUGAAGUUAGCGGCGGACGGGUGAGUAACACGUGGGUAACCUGCCCAUAAGACUGGGAUAACUCCGGGAAACCGGGGCUAAUACCGGAUAACAUUUUGAACCGCAUGGUUCGAAAUUGAAAGGCGGCUUCGGCUGUCACUUAUGGAUGGACCCGCGUCGCAUUAGCUAGUUGGUGAGGUAACGGCUCACCAAGGCAACGAUGCGUAGCCGACCUGGGAGGGUGUUCGGCCACACUGGGGCUGAGAGACGGCCCAGACUCCUACGGGAGGCAGCAGUAGGGAAUCUUCCGCAAUGGACGAAAGUCUGACGGAGCAACGCCGCGUGAGUGAUGAAGGCUUUCGGGUCGUAAAACUCUGUUGUUAGGGAAGAACAAGUGCUAGUUGAAUAAGCUGGCACCUUGACGGUACCUAACCAGAAAGCCACGGCUAACUACGUGCCAGCCGCCGCCGUAA